rnacentral:tRNA from 1 species
GCCCGGAUGGCGAAAUCGGUAGACGCAAGGGACUUAAAAUCCCUCGGCCGCAAGGCUGUGCGGGUUCGAUUCCCGCUCCGGGCACCA